UUUUUUAAAGUGAUAUGGCUGUGGCAAUAUUUAAAAAAUAAAAAAACAAUACUUUUCUGUUAUUUGACAUAGUACACUGCACGAGACAGAGCAGGCGCGCAAGUGUUUCGUCACUAGUCGCCUUAAAUCCCUCCCUUUUCGCCCGUAUCAUCCUAACCUAUGAUCCUAACAAUCGUGCCCCCUGCCCACUCCUGAUUGGCUAUGACUUCACAUUUCCGCCAUAUUCAAAAUCCGUCCUAUCUGUUGACUAUAGCGAACUUCCCCCUUUCAAUUCACCCCCCCAAAUAACUCAUUUUAAUUGUAUUACGUUUUGUACACACAGUUUACAGUAGCGCAUUCCAGGUCCACAUUUUCAAAUGGAGGAAACCGACGGAUCUCCAGUGCCGGUGAACGAAAGACCGAGGAGGAGCAAGAGAAAGUCGUCGGUGGCGGAUAUCGACGCGUCCCCAGAACGCAAUUUCAAAAGGCCGUCUUUGAGACGAGGAAGUUCUUUUAUCUUCCUGACACCUGGACCUCAGUGGGACUUCACGCUGAAACGCAAGCGCAGAGAGAAGGACGAUA